rnacentral:lncRNA from 1 species
UUGUUCACGCAAAAUACGUCACGUUCUCCACGCGUGCGCGGAAGUACUGGAAACGAAGAGAAUUCAAAGAAAAUGGCGGCGGAAAAUUAUAUUCCCCAACGAUCCCCAACUGUCCGAUACUAAUUCGCCUUAUUGGCCUACUUUGGCGGCAGUUCCUGCACAAAAAUGGCACCAUCGAUAUCUUUGAAUGCUAAGGACGUGUUAUAAACUGUUUGGUUACAUUUAUUGCGAGGGAAAUGUAAUACAGCUGCUGCUAAUGUUAUUCUUGAUGACAAACAGUGCUGUUGUUCGGAUGCAAGGGACACGUCAAAGAUAAGAAAUGUUUCAUAAACAUCAGUCAAUGAAGAGACCCGAUUUCAAUGAAGCCUUGUUGGAUUGUUGUACACAUGUAAGCCCCACGCAGAGGACAUCACUCAAACAAUGGACAAGUUUGAUUUAAGUCAAAGAAAUUUUGGGCAUGACAGCGUCUGGCGUAGGAUGAGGUUAUCACAAAAUCAAGGAAUUCAAGUGAAGAAAAAGAAAAUGACAGCCUUGAUAAAGAUGAGUUUUUUUGCUUGGUUAUUUUUUCGAAUUGACUAUCUGCGCUUAAAAGUCUGGUCUGCUGGUCUGUAUGGAUCGUAACAAUCUGGAUUUACCGAAUGUCUGCAUCAAAACUUGUCAGAGUCAAAACUGUAGGAAACCAACAAACAUGGAAAUUAUUUUGUUUUCUUUGCUGUUUUAUCUCUUUGAUCAAAGCGAUUUAUAACACUAUUAGAUUGAUGGAUCAAUCUUAGUGCAUUGGUUCUGUUGUUGACCGAAAUCACGACAAAAAAUCUAGUUAGUGUUUUGCAACUUAUCACCAUCUUUGGAGCUAAAUUGUCUAAUCUCUUGAUGUUGAAACCAAGUUUAAUAUCUUUGAAAGUCUUAAAAACCCCUCUAGGAUUAUUUUUAGAUCGCUGAAAAGUUUGAUGUUAGCAUGAUAUCUUUUCAAUACUUUUCAGUACUUUUCAGUUCUUCAUUCAAUAAAAAACCUUGCAGUCUUAUUGUCUAAUGUCUCGAGACCGUUUCAAAUUAAUACUCUAAAAAGUGUUAGUUUUCCAACUUUUUCAUGGAAUUAUAUUUUAUAACGCUAAUAAAGUUAAUGGUCUGGCAGUUUUUUCUUUAAAAAAAAAUUAGAGCAAUUUUAUCUUCUUCAAUGAAACUGUUGAGUAAUGCACCAUUUUUCAAGUCGGGGGCGGUCUUGGUCAUAUUGCGGAAGCCUCAUUUUACAUCGCGUUGCCAAAAAAAGAAGUCAUUUUAUUGAUUUUGAAAAAUAUCAUUCACAUUUUCACGUGCUGCGAUUUACAUUUAUAAGGUGCGACCAUAAGCUUGAGAAGAAUUAUUAGAUUUUUCUAUUUUUUUUUAUUUUUUAUUUAUUUUAUCUAAAAUAUAGAGCAUAGUUGUUUUUGGCAUGAGUUUUCAUCGAGGAACCAAAUAGCAGUUGAAACUCAGUAAACUUUCCACAAUUACUAUUCUCAUUGCAUUUUCAUUCCAAUUCGAUGAUCUCAGAGGAAUUGCCAGCGAACCCUUCGAUUCUUGUUCGUCGUUGCUUGAAAACACAGUUAUUUCCUUUUACUCAACCAUUAAAGAACACGAUCCUUUAAUACCUAAACGCAAGUUCAGAAGAAAGGCGAGAAUGUAACUUGAUUUCACUCAUCUGAGAGUAUCAAUCUGCUGCCCAAUUAAUUCUCUAAAUCCACGUUACGUUCCCAUCUCUUUGUAGAGAAACUCAACACUGGAAUUUCAAUACUGAUCUAUAAUAGUUUUAACGUUGGUUUUUCUAUUAAGGAACCACACUCAAUCAUCACAGAUUAAAAAACUAGAAAGGUUUCAAGUCUGUUGCAUUUGUUGAUUUUUUCCGUUUUAUUUGCAGAUUGAUUGAUGAAUCAGACAAGAAAGACAAGUGAAUACUAAGUUCUACUGAGAGGUAUAAAACAGAUGUAGGGCAUUUCUCUCAAGAAUACGGCGGUUCGUUAAUCGACGAUUUGAAGCCGAAGAUUUGUAAUUUUACAUCGCGUUGCCAAGCAACAGUUUGACGAAAAAAGAAGUCAUUUUAUUGAUUUUGAAAAAUAUCAGUAAGAUUUAAAUCGAAGAUUUGUAAGCAAAUGUAAUUUCGCGAUUUUGCUGGACUUAAAAAUUUUUUGUCGGCCUACUAUUCAUGGUAUGUGCUGCUUAAAAGUUUGAAAAUUUCCCGCCAAAAAACUUAGAAAAGUACGGGCGCUUGUAGUACGCAUGCGCCAUUUUUUUAAAAAUUCAGUCUGAGUAACAUUUGAUCAAAUGUGGCGAAUUUUCCCGCCAAGAGACUUAGAAAAAUACGGUGCCCAAAAUACGCAUGCGCCAAUUUUUUAAAAAAAUUUUACCGAAGUUAUAUCUCGUAAAUAUACCAAUAAACUUCAUCUUUAUUUC